rnacentral:rRNA from 1 species
AGAGUUUGAUCAUGGCUCAGAUUGAACGCUGGCGGCAUGCCUUACACAUGCAAGUCGAACGGUAGAGUAGCAAUACUUGAGAGUGGCGAACGGGUGAGUAAUAUAUCGGAACGUGCCCAAUCGUGGGGGAUAACGUAGCGAAAGUUACGCUAAUACCGCAUACGAUCUACGGAUGAAAGCGGGGGAUCGCAAGACCUCGCGCGAAUGGAGCGGCCGAUAUCAGAUUAGCUAGUUGGCGGGGUAAAAGCCCACCAAGGCAACGAUCUGUAGCUGGUCUGAGAGGACGACCAGCCACACUGGGACUGAGACACGGCCCAGACUCCUACGGGAGGCAGCAGUGGGGAAUUUUGGACAAUGGGCGCAAGCCUGAUCCAGCAAUGCCGCGUGCAGGACGAAGGCCUUCGGGUUGUAAACUGCUUUUGUACGGAACGAAACGGUCCUUUCUAAUACAGGGGGCUAAUGACGGUACCGUAAGAAUAAGCACCGGCUAACUACGUGCCAGCAGCCGCGGUAAUACGUAGGGUGCGAGCGUUAAUCGGAAUUACUGGGCGUAAAGCGUACGCAGGCGGUUAUAUAAGACAGUUGUGAAAUCCCCGGGCUUAACCUGGGAACUGCAUCUGUGACUGUAUAGCUAGAGUACGGCAGAGGGGGAUGGAAUUCCGCGUGUAGCAGUGAAAUGCGUAGAUAUGCGGAGGAACACCGAUGGCGAAGGCAAUCCCCUGGGCCUGUACUGACGCUCAUGCACGAAAGCGUGGGGAGCAAACAGGAUUAGAUACCCCGGUAGUCC